ensembl:lncRNA
CUCGGCUCGGCUCGGCUCGGCUCGGCUUGGCAUGGCACGGCACGGCUCGACGUGGCACGGCACGGCUCGGCUCGGCUCGGCCCAUAAGGCCUCUCCACGUGCUUGCCACUCUGCGCCUCUUGCCACCCCCGAGCAUCUUAAGCGAGAAUCUGGGAAUGCAGUGUCUUCUGCCAAAGCAGAGUAGGGGUUUUUCAUUAUGUUUGAAGUUUGCUUUCACCCUGCUCCUGUAUUUCUGUUACGAGUGCAGAAUCUUCUAUGGCACGCAGCAGUUUUGAGGUGGUUGCAUAUCUCUUCCAUGCUGGCAGGGAGGCCCGAAGCAGCCCAGAGCUCUUGCUGUCCGUGUGUCCGGUCAUAAAAUGCCAGUGCAGCCUCAGCUAAUGCAACCUCUGUUUGCACCACCCCUUCUAAAACUGUCCUGAUGUUUCAGCCCAAGUUGUCCAGUGCCAUUGGGUAUCACUUCCGCCAUGCGGCACUCCCAUGUGACUCAGGUGGCCGGGUUACAUUGGCCCAUGUGAUGUUGACACCUGUGUGCCACUGACACCCACCCAAUGACUCCCAAGCGUGCCACUGUUGAGGCACAUCAGGGCCCCCCGAGUGUUCAGGCUGCAAACUGCUGCAUGAGGCCCUGCCUUCCUCCAAGCACCAGCGGGGACUUUUAUAAAAGCCCAAAUAAGCCUAAGUCCUCUGUUAUAUGUGGACCUCAGCCCAUACUAAAAUACCGAGUAUCUAUAUCCCUACUUAUUUUGAUGUCAUAUCCGAAACAUCUGUAAUGGCACCCACGCCGUUUGGAAAUGGGAUUUACCCACCUUGUUUGUCUGCACGCUCUGAAGAGAAGAGCAACAAAGCGUGCAGAAAAAAAAAAACCCUCAAACAAGCUCUGAAGCCUCCCGACAGCCAGAAGCAGAUGUAGGUGAUCUCCCCUUCUUUGUCACGUACAGCAGAAGCUUCCCACGCACCAGAAGGGACGUGGUGUGCAAGGUGCCCAGGAUGCAUCCCUUCAGAGGGUGCCAUGCCACGGGCCACUGUAUAAACCAGACAAUUAAGUGUGGGUAACAACUGCCUGAUCAGUUCUCACCUGCGUGGCCCGAUUGCACCAGACUGCAUUUUUGAAGGUGAAAUUGUGAUUUUAUAAUUCCCAUCCCUUGUGAACUUCUGACACCUCAUGAGCGCUAGUAAUUAAAAAAUAACAUCCUCACACUUAUUCCACGUUGUAAAAGCGAAUUUCACACGGCUAAAAUGAAGUAAAGCGCUGCCACCGAACUGCUUUUAUAGGCUGGGCCCUCCCUACUUUAUACCCUGCUGAUCAGAACUAAGGAGGUCUACUGAGUGCACAGGACCAGAAUGCAGAACCACUCUGGAUUUUGACAACGACUGAGAUUCCCCGCAGCUUGCUUUCUGGGGCACAUGGUACUAGCUAGAAGCUUCUGAACCUGAAGCUGUGUAGUUGCAUUAGCUCAGGAUCAGCUUACAAUAAAGAAGUUCCCCACCUGCUUGGAAAAAGGACAAAAUAGGCUCACCUCCAUUUGCAAAAUACCACGUUAGCACAGUCUCAUACACUCUGGGCUUCAGCAUUUGCAGCCACUUCCUUUCAAAAGCAAUAACUUCUGUCUGCCUUUUGUGCAAUUGCCUGGCAGCUGGAACUCUCUGGGAAAUAAAAGUUUUCUGUUCUUUUUAGCCUAGAGUUUGAAAGUCUGUUAAGGGGACUCUCAUUGAGAGUUAAGAGGUAGCAGGGGAGAAGACCACAUCAUACUUCAUAGUGAAGUUAGCCAUGGUGCACAUGAAAAGUCGGGAGUCAUGGAACUAAACAGAGCAAAGGCAAGCUACUGCUUUUGCAUUGCAUGUAGACAGGCAUAGUGUGAAAACCAGGGUUCAGAACUUCCCAUUCUCAG